AAGAAUUAUGGUUUGAACUACGUAACAAUUACCUAGACAUCUUUUGGACUUCAGUUAACCUGUGUCAAGCACUGCAGUAGAUUCUGAAGAUACAAAAAUAAAUAAAACAUUCCUGCCCUCAAGACACUUACACUCUUAUGUGUAACACUGUGUGACCAUUCAUCUGGGCCUUCCUGAGACAGUCUUGGUUUACACCUGUUUUCCCAAUCAGAGCAUCACUGCCUUUCCCACUAUUCUCCUGCAGAAGAGCAGGGGAAGGAAGCACCAGGGUCCAUCAUGGAGGAAGGGUGUUGCCCUGAACAGCUGACACACCCUCAGCAAUGAAGCUUAGUUUUGCUGGAACUUUUCAGUUGUGACAACUGAGAUUCAGAGAUGUCCAAUCUACUCACAUAAAUAGCCUGGUUGAAGAUGGCUGAGCGUAAAACAGAAUGCAAGUCAGCUGGAGCACGUACUACUGGAGGCAGAGCCCCAUGAGAAGGGGCCAAGAACCCGCACCCAUCAAAAUCAAGAAGAAAGGCUGAACCCGGAGAGAAAAGGGAGAGGCGAGGAAACUGAGUCUUGAAGAGGUUAAGUUGCUUCAGGUCAUGGCUGGUCUGCUCUUCCUUGGUCCUCUGUGCCAACCCAUGAAAAAACUGCAUGCUAUGACCAAAUUCAGGAUCAAGUUUAUCCUGUCUAGAGCCAGCUCUCCAAAGCAACUGAUGUUGCCAUGCAGAUCCCUUGGUUGCUAUGAGAUGGUAACAUCACUCUGCCCCACCAUUGGCCAGUGCCUCCUCAGCUGCGGUGCCUCCCAGGCUGUGUGGUUCUCACGCGGGCCACUGACACAGAGCUGUUACUAUGGUGAACUUUACAAUUUCCUUUGAUUGGUGGAUUUCAGAAAUAGGCCAUCAGCGGAAUUCAUUAUAUUCAGCUAAGUAAAAAUGAAAAAUAAAUACUAUAACUUUCCCCUCAUCACUAACAUGAAGGAAACGUGACCCUUCAUGACAUAAUAAAUCGCUGUUCGGUAACUUAGGAUCCUUCAGGGGACUGAAGCGGGAUGAUCCUCCUAUGCCAAAUUUGGGUGGGAAAGAUAUUCCCUGUAGCUUUGAGUCGACUCUUCAGAGUUAAGGGCAGUGGGCCAACCAGAGUUGGAACUUCAGAGUUGGGAGGAGGUGUGGGAUGGGGCAUGCAUUGAAAUGUAAACUCUAUUGUCUCUGAAGUGAUGGGUGAUGCUGGGGGCCUGAGUGUGGAGGGCAGUUUUACAUCUCAGGACAAUGUUUUCUCAGAUGCUCUUCCAGAAAGAAAAGCCAGGAGUACUCCUGGCUGGAGGCGGCAUGCCUGAGGUCAGAGUCAAAGUAGGGUUUGUGCUGUCUGAAUCCUUUCUCCCACUCUCCCCAGCCUGGCUCAGCUUCUCAGCUUCUCAGGUGGAUUGGUGAGUCCUGGCCAAUUACGCUUCAGCUCAUCUCUACUCUCAGCAAAUAGGAAAAGGGAGUGAAGGACUGAGUUUUAACUCUUCUAAUUUCGUAACCUGACUCUCUAUAAGAAAAAGUAGGAGAAAGACUGAAGAACCCGAGAGAACAGGCCUCUGAGCCCAAGCCAAGCCAUCGCAUCCCCUGUGACUUGCCCGUAUAUAUGCCCAGAUGGCCUGAAGUAACUGAAGAAUCACAAAAGAAGUGAAUAUGCCUUGCCCCACCUUGACUGAUGACAUUCCACCACAAAAGAAGUGUAAAUGGCCGGUCCUUGCCUUAACUGAUGACAUUACCUUGUGAAAGUCCUUUUCCUGGCUCAUCCUGGCUCAAAAAGCACCCCCACUGAGCAUCUUGCGACUCCCACUCCUGCCCACUGAGCACCUUGUGACCCCCACUCCUGCCUGCCAGAGAACAAACCCCCUUUGACUGUAAUUUUCCUUUACCUACCCAAAUCCUAUAAAACGGCUCCACCCUUA
ensembl:lncRNA novel transcript, antisense to PELI1